rnacentral:rRNA from 1 species
AUACGGAGGGUGCAAGCGUUGUUCGGAUUUACUGGGCGUAAAGCGCGCGCAGGCGGGCUAGCAAGUCAGAUGUGAAAUCCCGGGGCUCAACCUCGGAACUGCGUCUGAAACUGUUAGUCUAGAGUCUCAUAGGGGGUAGGGGAAUUUCACGUGUAGGGGUAAAAUCCGUAGAGAUGUGAAGGAACACCUGUGGCGAAGGCGCCUACCUGGAUGAGUACUGACGCUGAGGCGCGAAAGCGUGGGGAGCAAACAGGAUUAGAUACCCUGGUAGUCCACGCCGUAAACGAUGAGUACUAGUUAUUGGAGGUAUUGACCCCUUCAGUGACGCAGCUAACGCAUUAAGUACUCCGCCUGGGAAGUACGGUCGCAAGACUAAA